AUAGCUUGCCUUCCCACAGCGGGAUUCCAAACCACAUCUAGAAGAACAACUCUUGAAGCUCCGGUUAGGCUAAUCCCUUCACAGCAAGCUCUUGUAGAUGCAAGUAACACCUUCGCAUCACUAUCUGGAUUAUUGAAAACUUCAAUUGACGUCUGACGAUAUCGUGGUUGGAUCUUCCCAUCCAUUUGGAGAAUCUCUUUCCCUACUCUCCAUUUGAAAAGCUUGCUAAGGUGUUCUUUUAUCAAUUCUAAUGGCUGA
rnacentral:rRNA from 1 species